rnacentral:SRP_RNA from 1 species
GGCGGGUCUCCUCGCAUUGUGGAGCGGUGAAUCUGGUCAGGUCCGGAAGGAAGCAGCCACAGUCGCUUUUCAUAAGUGCCGGGGUAAGGCUCGCCACU